CGACGUGAGGGAACCUGCCUUUCAGAGGGGGACAACAGCUGGAAACGGCUGCUAAUACCGCAUAACACAUAGGUGUCGCAUGGCAUUUAUGUCAAAGAUUUAUCGCUGAGAGAUGGCCUCGCGUCUGAUUAGCUAGUUGGUAGGGUAACGGCCUACCAAGGCGACGAUCAGUAGCCGGACUGAGAGGUUGGCCGGCCACAUUGGGACUGAGAUACGGCCCAGACUCCUACGGGAGGCAGCAG
rnacentral:rRNA from 1 species